UACGUAGGGUGCAAGCGUUGUCCGGAAUUAUUGGGCGUAAAGAGCUCGUAGGCGGUUUGUUGCGUCGGCUGUGAAAUCCCGAGGCUCAACCUCGGGUCUGCAGUCGAUACGAGCAAACUAGAGUGUUGCAGGGGAGACUGGAAUUCCUGGUGUAGCGGUGAAAUGCGCAGAUAUCAGGAGGAACACCGGUGGCGAAGGCAGCUCGCUGGGACGUUACUGACGCUGAGACGCGAAAGCGUGGGGAGCAAACAGG
rnacentral:rRNA from 1 species